rnacentral:tRNA from 1 species
UGGGGUGUGGCUCAGUGGUAGAGCACUUGCCUUGUGUGCAGGUAGCCCUGGGUUUGAGCCCCAGCCCUGCAC